rnacentral:rRNA from 1 species
UACGUAGGGUCCAAGCGUUGUCCGGAAUUAUUGGGCGUAAAGAGCGUGUAGGCGGCUGGAUAGGUCCGUUGUGAAAACUCGAGGCUCAACCUCGAGACGCCGAUGGAAACCAUCCAGCUAGAGUCCGGAAGAGGAGAGUGGAAUUCCCGGUGUAGCGGUGAAAUGCGCAGAUAUCGGGAAGAACACCCGUGGCUAAGGCGGCUCUCUAGUACGGUACUGACGCUGAGACGCGAAAGCGUGGGGAGCAAACAGG